AACAAACGCUGGCGGCGUGCCUAACACAUGCAAGUCGUACGAGAAAGUCGGCUUCGGCCGAUGAGUACAGUGGCGCACGGGUGAGUAGCGCGUGGGUAAUCUGCCCCCCGGUCAGGAAUAACCCGCCGAAAGGCGGGCUAAUACCCGAUAACACUGACGCUCCGCGGAGCGUCUUUCAAAGAAGGCCUCUGUUUACAAGCUUUCGCCGGAGGAUGAGCCCGCGUACCAUUAGCUAGUUGGCAGGGUAAUGGCCUACCAAGGCUACGAUGGUUAGCUGGUCUGAGAGGAUGGCCAGCCACACUGGAACUGAGACACGGUCCAGACUCCUACGGGAGGCAGCAGUGAGGAAUCUUGCGCAAUGGGGGAAACCCUGACGCAGCAACGCCGCGUGAGUGAGGAAGGCCUUCGGGUCGUAAAGCUCUGUCAGAUGGGAAGAAAUGGAUGGGGGCGUAAUAUCGCCCAUCCUUGACGGUACCAUCAGAGGAAGCACCGGCUAACUCCGU
rnacentral:rRNA from 1 species